AUCACGCUUGGGAGGAGGGACUGUUGCUGGCUUGAAGGCCGGCACGGCAGCUAGUCAACAUCUACUGCACUUCCAAUAUGAAAACUGAGAAAUAUUUUCCAAGGAGGCGCAGUGACAGUCAGGACCAGAGAGGGGAAACAGAGAAACUCAAGAAACCACACACAGGACAGCUGCCCAAUGCAAACCAGUGGGAUUAGUUAUCAAAUAAACUUUGUUUUCAAUUUGUCCUAGUAUUCAACCAAGGCUUCUGCGGCGGCUGAAGCAACACGAUGGGGUCUGGGAAGGAGAGCUGCAAGGUAAUGAAGAGAGAAGGCGGACGGCAGCCAACAUGCUGCUGGGGACGUGCCAGCUCGAGGACGCAACAGACCCGCUGGGAAUUCCUCCACCCCGCCAUGUAACACGGAGCCUUCAGAGAAGGAGAGGUGUCGCGCUUGCUUAAGGAGGUGCUAACCUCACCAUCUUGUGCAGCUCUCAGUGACAGAGGGAGAAGGACUCGCCCUGAGUGAAGGAGCCAGUGGCGAGCUCAUCGAUCAAAGAGCGGGAAAUGUCAGACGGCAAGUACAAGGCAGAGUUUUCUUCUUUUUUUUCAGCACAGUCUGCCGAAGCUACACCUCACAGGCUGAUACUGUGAGUACGAAUUUAUUCAAUGUCACAUACACAAUUAAAACACAUGUGUCCAGCCAAACCGUAUUGGGUAAAAAAAAUGAGCCCACGAUUCCGUACACGUUUUUUUUUUAUAUAAUAAUGAUUUUAAAGUCAUUUAGAUAUAAAGCACACUUGAGGUUCAGUCAGGUACAUGACUGGCAGCCUCUUCUGGUGUGAAUGUCACCGGGAAUCUGCAAUUUGGCAUUAUAAUAAUUAACACAGAUUUAAUCGUCGAUGGGUACUGUUUGUUUUACUUUUUACUCAAAAUGAUAUAAUAAUAAAAUAAUCAUUGGUUGCCCCACUGGGGAUAACGAUAUUAACCAAACAGAAGAACAUGUCAAGGCCUAAAAAUUAUAUAUUGUUGUAAAAAGCAAAUGUCCUAAUUUCUGUUAAAAAAAAAAACACCAACCUCUCCAAAUGAGGACCUGAAAAGAAAAAAAAAAGCCUGCGCACCACAAAAAAACUGUGAUAGGUUGGAAGGUUGGACUCGAAAUGACCUUUAUGAGGAGCAUUUCUUUUUCAUCCAAUCAAAUGGCUGAAGAGUGGAUGUAAAAGCAAUAUUAGAAACUUUUAGAGAGAAUAACCCCCUGAUGAUAUGAAUUCAUAUAAACAAAACUUCAAUGCGAGAUACAAUAGUUUCUGUGAAAUAUCUUUACUUUUCUAAGUGGCUGACGCUGUUUACCUCGAGAAUCCAGCAGAUAACUGCGGUGUGAAUCCAAAUGGCAAACUAAUCACUCUCUUCCCCCUGUGAAAAGAAGAUGUACAGCACAGCGUUGUGGAGGGCCACUGCAGGAUACCACUUUACCACACCAGGAGGAAAGAUCCCACCCUUCACAUUCGACAUAAACAAGACGCAAAGAUGUGCUACAAAGGGAGAGGACAAAAGAGAAGUAUUACUAGCAACGGGCAGACAAAGUUAUGGGAGCGGCGGGGAGGUAUCCUUGUGUACAAGUCAUUAGCUCGCUGCUUCAGACACAACAGUGAGGUAUGUGCACAAUAUCCGGUGACCUGAUCCGUUCAGUGCAUUGCACAGAACAAAUGGAGAAAACCGCGCUCUAAUUAUAAACUAUUUUGCUGCAAACAGGGACUUUACAAGUACACAAAUACAAUUACAGAAAGGCAUAUAUGCCUCUGAUAAAUGUGAAUUAUUGUUUCCUGUGCAAGGCUGCGAGCGUCACAUUUUUCACAGCAUCCAGCAGGAACUGUAUAACCGGCAAAGUAUCAAGUGAAAAAGAGUAAAAACGGUUUAAGGUAUUUGGGAGUUUGUCACAUAACAGAGGCACAAUAUUUUCUUAUUGGUUAAUAUAAAAACUCGCCACGAGUCGUUGAGCGCCACUGUUUAAUAAUUUCAUAUCGACCAAAUGUGCAAUCUAACAGCUUGGCAGCUUAUGGUUUCAAAUUUGGAUUCCCAUUCAAAUGCACUGCUGGUAAAAUUGUCAAUUUUCAUUAUGGAUGUGCUGAAAAAUUGUCAAAUCCCAUGGUUGGCAUGAAUCAGUGUGAUUUGACCAACAUUACAGUAUCUUUUAAUAAGGUGUGUGCAUCACUGUUUUCAUAAUAAUAAUUUAUAAUAAGGUGAAACAGGUGAAUGUAAAAUCCUGAAAUCAAAAUAAACUAAUUAUUAUAUAACUUGACAAUUGCAAGGAGGGACGAAGGCAAAAUAAUAGUAAUGUAAUUUGAUAAUGUCACUGUAAAAUUAGAUUGUAAGACCUGAAUUUUGUUUUAUUGCUUGUAAAUGUGUCACGUCAAAUAAAUCAACGUGUCACUAUGUCAUCACACAAUCUGCAGCUGAAUUAAAGACCAUUUCAGUUGUA